CUUACGUAUUUUCGGCAGUUUUGUUCUCUUCGUCAUGGGGGGUUUUUUGAAACCUGUUGAUUUUAAAGUUGGCCUCAAAUCCUUCCCAACCAAGCUGAGUUAUUUGCCCAAAUUUCAGGCAAUUCAGCCCACAAAAACCCCCCAUGACGAAGAGAACAAACCGGCCGAUAAUACCCUUUGUCACCCUAUCUAUUUUGGCCAGGGUGCUUCUAAUUUGGCCACUCCCAUAAGAAAUACACGUGAUUAGCCAAAAUAGAAACCAAAGCUGAGAAUAUGGCCAAAACUGCGGCAAGGCUUCUAUUUUGGCCAGUGCCACAUUUAAUACAAAAAUCAAGUAUUAGCUUGAUUUCUGCAUUUUUCUAAUAAAGUAUAGAUCGAAACCUUUCAUUUAACACAUUGGUAGUUUUCAUUGGGUUAUUGGUUAUUUUUAUAAAAAUGAUUUCCCUUAGACUGGCCAAAACCGGUGCCCGCACCCUAUAUGUGCAUCAUUGGUACAAAUUUGGGCUCGAUUGAUUCUUUUUUUUUUCGCGAAGUUAGAACCGUUCGGGUAAAACACUAUUAUUUAGACAACUAAUUUUUGAACUGUCACAUCUCUGAAACCAGUGAACCGAAUUGAAUGAUUUUUUAACGUUUAUUAACAAUAUAUUGAUACUCAAUACCACAUUAUAAAAUGUAAUAUUUUCUCACGGCGAAUUAAGUUAUACCGGAUUGAAAUUUUUACCCAUUUAGAGGAAAAUAAGUCAAAUUUACAAUACCACACAAAAAUUACUAUAUGUGUUCUUCCUUCAAUCUAAAUAGGCUCUAAUAUAUCUGAUUAGAGAUAACUUGAGAACAGAAGUGGAAAAUCUUUGAAUAUCAACACUAAAAUUUGCUGACAUUGAUGUAAAAAAUUACAUUUUUUCGAGAAAGAUCCAAAAAGUUUCAAUCUAUGAUAACUUUUUUCAACAUUUAAAAAGUACCUAUGUUUUAAUAGUUUGUGAAGCAUUUACAUAUUGUUAGUGUACGUUCAAUAUUUCAUUCAAUUCGGUUCAAUGGUUUCCGAGAUAUGACACCUCAAAAAUGAGUUGUCUGAAUAAUAGUGUUUUACCCGAACGGUUCUAACUUUGCGAAAUAUUAAUCAAUCGAGCCCAAAUUUGUACCAAUGAUGCACACAUAAUAGAUUGACAAACAGUCAAAAUUUGAGAUUUUUUGAUGCGCUCUAUGAAAAGUUAUAGCUAGUUGAACUUUUUUCAUUUCAUUUUCAUUUUGCAGCAUUUGGUGGGGCAAUGAGAGCGCAAGUCAGUCCGAAGCCGAUGAUAAGGAGGGGUAAUGGCUGAAUAGUCUUUGCUGACCACAUAAACGCCAUGGGAUAGGAAAAGGGUAGGGUAAAAGGGUAUAAUACGCCCCACCGGGGCAAAACGCCCCCCUUCAUUUUGUAGCGAUUCAAGCGCUUAUUGCAUGCGGGAUCGAUUGGAAAUCUUAAAUAUUGAUAAUUAAUUGCCAUCAAGCUGAUACGUUAGUUGAUUGGUAUAGAAAAGCAAUAAAAAUAUCAAGAAGUCUGAAAUCGAGGCUUUUGGCGUAAUAUUUUACCUCUUGCAAGCUGGCUUCAUUGUAAACGAAGCCAGCUCUGUUCGCUUAUGUUAUUUUGCAACUUUUAUGCAGUUAAACACUUGUUGAAAGGCCCUCCUAGGAUAAGCAUGAGUUUUAUCACGGGGCUGGACGUUUUUCUUUUGGUGGGGCGUAUUGCCCCGUUUGUUUUGAUAAGGUAAAUUUUGGAACGUUUUCGAAAAACGUUUCAAAGCUUCCAUAGCCGCCCCUCCAGAGGUAAAGUUUUCAUGCAACACUUCACUGACUUUAGAAACAACGAUUUGCAGUGGACAAUAGAUGGAAUAAGGCGCCAAUUUUAGAUAUAUUGCCAUUUCUGCUUAGGGGGGGCAUAUUAUACCUGUUUACCCUACAUAUUUUGGUGUGGGAUUAGGGUGUUGGUACAGACUUGACAAUAUCAAUGCUAUUCAGAUGCAAAAUAAUUUUAAGGCUCAAUAGUAAAUCGCAUACCUUCCAAAACCAAAAAAACAAUAAUCCACAAAAUACCAAGCAAGUCAAAGAAAGAAAAAGCGCCCGAUUGUUUAUUUUGUCAAUUAUAACAAACGGAAACUUCUACCCUCUCCGACUCGUCAGUCACCCCGGAAAAAAUGUCCCUUCAGUUCUGGAAAAUAUAUUAUCCCCAAUUAAACCUUUAAUCGAAUUGUCCGCGUGGUCUUGUAGUACCCCUGCUAGGUAAGAACCAGUCAUUGCCAUACAUAUUAAAUGCUAGACAUGACCCCAUGGAUAGCAUUUGCAUAUGUAAAAGCUUUGCUGAUGUGACUUUCCUAUUAGGCAAUUCUCUCAUCUAAUGUUUGUCUUCAAAACCUUGUCAAGCUUAGAAAAUUGGAAUUAAUAAACAAUACAUUACAAGAUUUGAAUUCCCAUAGAAUGAGAUCAUUCAUUCGCACUACAACACCAUAGGAGAUAAUAUCAUAUUGGCUGAUUAAGUACAAAUGCCAAAAAAAUCUCCCUUUUCCCCCUAUCCGCAACCCGGGGACGCGCCCUGUUGGAUUUCGAAAGCCUCGGAGAAUAUUACAAACUUUCAAUGGCAUUCCCAUACACUAACCCACAUUGCCCAUUCAGGGGUCUGACUGGGCAUAUUACCCUCCUUCAGUUUGUAAUAUUCUCACCAACUUGGAAUUAUAUUUUCCCGGCACAUAAAUGACUUCGACAAAUGUUCGAUAUACUAUGCAGCAUCAUGAUCAGUAUAGCUAUAUCAGAUGAUUUGAAGAUCUGAUUUUUACAGAAUUGUUUGCCAUUGAUUAUACAUUCAGCUAUUCCAAUCAUUACUGCAAAGCACAUCGACCACAUGCCUGAAAUCAAAGCUUCCUGGAAGAUAUAAUCCAAGCCCAGGGCAGCAAAACUAUUUGCCCAUAUCGGCUAAAAAACACUAGCUCUGGUAGCUGUUUCCGAAUAAUUUACAGAAAUGUCAUUUUUUUUAAAAUUAGCUAUGACUUUUUUUGGCUCUUCUUUGUAAUAUUUCUCAAGAAUAGUACUUUGAAGGCGUUAACCCUCUCUUUCCCAUGGUAGCAUAGGUAAUCCACUACUUUGCACUGUUCAUACAAAUACAGGAUAAGUUAGAUCAUUCCCAUUUUUUCGUCAGAUGUUUGUAUAUGUUUAAUGAACUAUUAUGCCAGAUUUGGUCAAAAAUUAUCUGCUCGUUUUUGUUUUUGAGUUAAAUGAACAGUGCAAAGUAGUGGAUCACCUGUGCUACCAUGGGAAAGAGAGGGUUAACAUGGACAGCCUUUUCCCUCUCUGAAUGUUGUCUAGUGUCCUCGGAGAUUUUCGAUUAUUGAAAUACUUUUCUAUUAUCAAAUCAUCUUUGGGGCUUCCAUUCGAUCAAAACACUAGUGCGAUGGAAAUAGUUAAAUCACAGUAUUUUCAAAAACUACUACGACCCAAUACUAAUUACUACACACUUUGCUCAAGUUGACGACAUCGUCUAGUCCAUCGUGAGUAUUGGUCCUAGUAGGGGGAAAGUUGGGAAAGUGUCCAGGGUUUGCUAUUCGCUGUCCUGCAGCUUCAUCUGGUCACUCUACAAAAAAAAGAAAAGCAUCAGAACCCGACUCCGGAUAAUCGAGUCCGACCUGUACAGUGAUUUCUAACCUUAUAUUGUAUCUAGUAUUCAUACUGUUCACGCCAAACGUGAACUAUGUUCCCAACAUAAUAGUUUGACCACUGUCAAUUAUCAGUCGCCUCACUGUGCAGAACGGACGUCCACUGCAUGCUAUUAUCUACUGCCCAGUAGCGAUUUCUGCGAUCAGCCAGCUGAUUGCAGGCAGUCAGCUGAAACAAUAAUCGCUUGCUUUCAACCGAUUCCACACUCUUUUACAGCAAAUGCAAGGGAGAUGGCAUUGUAGAGAACAAACUACAUCUAGCCUGCCGUAUCCAGUACAGAUAUACGGGAUAGAGUAGUGCUCUUCCGUACAUGCCUCCCCCCCUUUCGCAUCUUCUACACCAACUACUAGCUGUGAGCCCAUCAGUUCUAUAGUUGAUAGCCGAAACGAAUAGGUCGUCAAGCGCAUUCGCACAGCGCCCCGCGCGCGCCCGCGCACUUUCUCGGUUCACCUACCGACCGGUAAUAGGUGCAAAUUUAGAAUAGUUGUGUUUUGUGUAUAUAUUGUAAAUAGUGUAUCAAAGAAAUAAAGGACAUGGACAUUAUGAACGUUAUUACGUUGUGCACGACACUAUUAUGUUCCUCGACUCCGUCAUCACCCACAGGCCCGAGUUCGGUCAAAUCUAUUCUCGGCGUCAACACAUACCAAGCAUGAAUGUUUGACAAUGCAUCAUGUAUCUCAUUGCGUUACAAAACACAGUUAAGAAAAAAAUCGAAUUAUUCCAAUGUUUAUGAAAUUAAUUUUUCACGAAUUCCAUGUUAUUUAAUAGCUACAUAACUACAGAUUUCGAAAUACCAUUCGUGACAGUUUCUGUUCAAUUUAAAAUGUUUGUUUGGACAUUUCAUGAGGUCGGUCAAGCCGAUCAAUGUUACCCCGCUGAUCAAUGAUACCCCGUUUUACGGUACUUUUCAAUAUCGUUUAUUGGAUCAAUUAGAGACCCUAUUUUGUUGAUUUACUUUUACGUUGAAAAUACGCUUAACAAUUGAGAAUUUACUUCAAAGUUAUCGGAAAUGUAAACUGUGUCAUUAAAACCCCUCAAAUGCGCAGGUAUGUAAGAGGACAUACACUUUACCGUCACAUACAAUGGGCUUUUUCAUUUGACGGCUUAAAUCAGCUGAUUUUUCGGGCCUUUGACAGUUCUCCUAUGAAAAUGACAGUUUUGGGUUUGCGCCUUUGUUCGGCGGUUGUAAACAGUGGCAUACAUGGACCUGUCAGCUGAAAAGGCCUAUAUGCACAUCAAAAUCGUUUUUUUUUUUUUUUUUCAUAGUGAUUACGGCGGUAGCACACUGUGCUUAUGUUCUAACACCGCACCCUUUCCCUACGUUUGCUUCAAUGAGCCUCUAUUUUUGUUUCAACACACAGAAGUACGUAGGCAUAUCGUGGCCCAAGUCGACACUGUUUUGGCCUGCGUUGAACAAAAAUAGUUUUAAUAAAAGCUUCCCCUUUUUUCUUUUUGUCAAUUGGUUUUUUGUAGUAUGGUCCAUGUAUUUAGUUAGGUUCUUGUCAAUUUGUCAGUUAUUCGAAGUAGAUCUCCAAGGUAAUAGUCAAUUCAGUCAUUCUGAUAUGUUCUAUCAUAGCAGCUUUAGUUUUUGCUUUAUUGAAGUGUAGUUUUAUUGGAAAUAUGCUGAAUGUCGUUAUUAAAAAGAGACGUCUGGAACUGUGUCCUGCUAGUUGUUCCGUCAUGCACAUACGUCAUGUCUUAAUAAUGCCUAAGAGAUUAACAGAAGUACGUGUGUUCGGUCAGAUGUUCAUUGCGUAGAAAGUCAAGGAAAAUAGGUUUCUUUAUUGUCAGUUGUUAUGUAAGCCUCGCUUGAAGCACUUCCUGUGAGAACCCUGUCAUCUGUACACCAACUAAUCCGUAUCUUCGUACACAGCUAAAUACUGUACUGUCAACCGGCGAAAAGCUUACGGGUAAAUAUUAAAAAAUGAUUAAUAAUGCUGUCUAGCGCAUUGUUUCCUAUCGGCCACUAUUUUAGUCUAGUCCCAACUGCAAGCGAUAGAUUCAUCGAAUCAGUCGAACCCGUAUGUUAAAAUAUUAAUAUAGUCGAUUCUGUGUCAAAUUGUUUUCUUGAUUUCGCUAAUCGUUUUCUACUUCUCUGUGUUCAUCUCUUGUGUCCUUAAAUUUUCAUCGGUCCAAAACCCACAGAAACAUGUAACUGAACUUCUGAUAUUUUUCUGUUAGUGUCAUAACACCAUCUAAGAGAUAAACAAAAAUACGCCAAGUAAUAAAACAAAAAUUGCUGGUCACCUAUUAUGUAUUCAUCCCCCUACAAAUACUAUGAAAAAUAUUCAAAUUCGUUCAAUUGUCCUAUCGGUCCUACCUCGAUAAACCAUGUCAUUUUCUCAUGCGUGGCCUAGAAAAGUCAACCUAGUCAUAUUUACAAAAGUAACGUUGUUCAGUUAAUGAAAAGCAGUCAGUUUUUGUCCAAAAUGUCACGUCGAACGCAUUGAUGUCAACAAUGCGUUUAAAUGUUCGCACGUUAGCUUCGAAUCUAUCAGCACAAUUAAGUGCUGCAAAUCUCCUUCCCACUAUUAAUUCGUCGAUUGAUUUUAAUUGCAUUAUUUAAAGAUAAUAUGACCAACUAACAUUGUAAAAAAUCGAAAAAGCGACUAUGACAUUAAUAAAUUACUAAUCAAAAUCAACCGAGAGACGUGGGAAAUAGAGCCCAAACAACAUUUUGAAGUCAGCUGGCUGUUAAAGGUUCCAAAACCUGUCACAAAUCCUAUAAUACUUUUAUUAGGAUUUGUAACGAUCAUCAAAACCUUCUCAAACCCAACCGACUUGGAACUAUUGCUUGGGAAUAGACUCUACUGAGCCCUGGCGGAUCCUCCAUGUUUAUCGAGCAUGUCUGAUGCAUAUGAUCAGCCAUACUCCAUCUGCAGCAGCCGGUUCUUGAUGAACCGUUGGAGGCGCAUUAAAGUGUUAAAAAGGUGAUAUGUUUCACUAAAGAACACUACAUUACAAUAAUCAAAAUGAAACUCCUUCACUUUAAUACCGUCAACCCCUGCGAACUUGGCCAGGGCUAUAUGCACAUCAAAAUCGUUGAAUUAAUAAUGUAGUAUCCUAGUCUUGAUCGCAGUAGCCUUGAGAUAUGCAAUUGACAUAUGCUUCAUUGUAAUAAAUUAUUAUUGUUCCAACCACCGACACGAAGAGUCUACAUUUGGCGACGAGGAUGGGAUUUGCAUCGACAGCAAGCAGGAAGAAAAGACGAAAGGAUUACCCGGGUCUGAAAAACAUACUCAAGAUUGUCUUUUCAAAGCGAAAUUGCUUGGUUUGCACAGUAGCGAAGUCAAAACCAAAGCAAAUGAACUUAUCGUAGAUGUUACAAUCAUCAGAGAGAAAACCCACUAUAUAGACUCUAUGAUUCAACACAAGAAGAAUAGCAUGUCCCCAGAAUACAAUCAAUAUUUAUAGCAGAUUGGACUUCAUCAAAGGACUGCGAGAAAAACAGUAACGAUGUUUUCCUUUGGCAGAAAAUGGAGUAUAAGGUGAGUUAUUUACAUAUAUUUGUUUCUUCAGUUUGGAAAUCAUGGAUAGUGUGAGACAAAUUAAGUCAAUCGACGUCAACUGGAAAUGAUUGGAAAAAAAUAUUUCAUAUGCUGGAAUUCAGUAAAUUUAUUGAUUUUAACUUCAAAAGAAACCUUAACAAUUUAAUUUGACUUAAAAAAAAGUGAAAUGGUUUCAUAUGACAUUAUAAUUGAGAUUAUUAUAGUGAAACUAGGAAAGAACACGCCACUACAUAUAUGUUUGAUAGUAAAAUUAAAUAAGAACAAUCCGCUGUUUUUCAACUCAUCAACACAAAUUAUUUAGAGGUGUGAGAAUGAAAAGCUACAAAUUGAAAAAUGAAAUUAUUCUACCGUGGGGUGCCCUAAUUUCGUGCGGGCCCAAAUUAGGAAGUUGCAAGUGGUCCAAAACAAAUUCUUGAAAAUGAUCUUCAAACUUCCGACACGCACUAGGACAACUGAGGUCCAUCGACUAGCCUGUCUGGACCUGAUCAGUAACAGAUUACAAAACCUUUCCAUAAAGCACGAGGCCAGAGCUGUUAUAUCUGAAUGGCAAACAAUUAGAAAUAUAUAUCUGUAAGAUUAAAUUUUGUAAAUAGUGUAAAUAGUAGGUUAGAAUAGUAUAGAUUAGGAGCUGAAAUGUCAACAAACAAACAAAGUUUAAACUCAACAAAUAUUUUUAUAACAAAAGCAAACACACAAAUAAGUUAAAGAUAACUGAGAAGGCAACUAAAGUCUGAAUAGCAUUUAGCGGUAUCACUUAAAAUGUAAUGAAAAUGAUUGUUACAACAAGAAAGAGAAUAAAUCAAUACACUUUAAAGUUAAAAAAAAAAGUGCGGGCCCAAACUUCGUUAACUUCUGACAUCUGAGAGCAUUAUCAUCUAAAUAACCGCGGAAAAUUUGCUAUAACCUCAAAACUGCAUUUGAUCUUAAUACAAUUCACAAAAAAAAAAUGGAAAAUUUGAUUUAUGUCAAAGAUUGAAAAAUAAAUUGCAAAUGUAUGCAAAUAGCAGAUGCCAUAUUCAGAGAUACGAGGAAAUCAACACUCACGGAAGUGAACAAAUAUUUCGAUCUCUAUCAAAGGUAAAUAUUUCAAUUUAUGCUUGAUUAUUUCAAUUCAAUAUGUUUAAAAUUACUUAAAAAUGUUAUUUUCUUAUUUUGUUUCAACAUUUUUGUUGUUGGCGAAAUUAGGAACCCACAAUUUGCAUGGGUCCCUAAUUUCGUGCACUCUUUUUCAUAACUUUGCUUUAGAGGUUCAUGUGUACACUAAUGGCUGAGGCUUUCACAUUGAAAAAUUUAUUUAGUUUUUCUUCUAAAAAAACUGAAUUUUGUUACUAAAAAUUGAAUAUCUCGAAAAGUUAUUUUUUUACCUUCGUGAUAUUUUGUGAGAAUAAAGUUCAUUCUGUUAGCUACCAUCUGUAAAAAUUUCAUAAUGGUAAAAAAAUGUACAAAAAAGUUAUGGCACUUUGAACAUUUUCGGUUGUGUGUUUUUUAGAGUGUAUGACGAAUUCACGCAAACUCGCCGUAGGGGUUUGGCAAAACUGUCUUAGAAUCGGAUGGAAUUUCUUAGCUUUAAAGACGUAGGGUAACGGUUGAAUUUUGGACCCCUAGAGGACAUUAGUUUGAAUUUAAGUCAAAAUCAAACAGAUUCAGAGGGUAUUUACACAUGAUGAUGAUGUUAGUAUGUUCGGAAAAGCCUCCACUGUCCGCUAAAAAUACCCACAAGGUCAUUUCUGGCUGCAAAUUUGAUGAGAAUAACUGAUUUUUGAAGCAUCAGUUGUCACUGUUAUGGACACUCCAAUAUAAUUUGGACCCUCUUCAGUAUAUAUUUUGGACACCCGGUGUUUAAACUCGUUUGAAACUAUUUUGGAAGAAUUUUCCGCUUGAACAUGCUGGAUCACUUCCUAAUUACUUGAUUGACAAAGGCUGAUUAGACGAACUUUGCGAAUUUAAUGCGCUAGAAUGAUAAACGUUUUUGUUUACAUCUGCAAGUUUCCUCAGCACCGCAAUCUUUAUUUGUAAACAUGAUGCGACACUCGCACGGAUGACGAGAUUUGCAAAAAAUAAUUUCAAGGCAAAUAAGGAUAUUUCCAGUGAGGAAAUGUUUGCUGCCCGUGCAGAGCAAUGUUAUUUAGCGAAUGAUUCUAAAAAUUUCCGUCAUUUCAUCAUUAAACCUGUGUAAGUUGUGAUAAUACGACCCAGGGGGUCCAAAAUAUAUGGGGGUCCAAAUUAUAUUGGUUACCCUAUUUUAAAGUAAGAUUGCAUACGUUGUUUUUUUUAUUUACCUAGACUAAUAUUUGAAAAGGUCUAAAGUAUUUGACCGUUUUUUACUCAAUAUAACUUAAAAAUGACAUUACCUACAAAAAAGUUAUGUAUGGGUGACUUUUAGAUAAUCAUGUGAACUUUCAUAACAUUGAAAAAUGUCAAUACGCUUUAAAAGUAAAAAAAAAUGCAAAUAAGAAAAAUUAUUUCAAUUUGCAAAACAUGACAUUUUUGUAAUUAUUGAAAAUUUUGCCAUAUAUCGCAAGAUGCGCACUUUUGAAGAAAAGCAUUUCUGAGGUACCGUGAUUUCGGGUGAAACUGAUCAGUGGGAUGAAAUUGAUCGACGUGAGGGUCAUGUUCAUUUGUUAAAAAUAUUGCUUUAAACUUAAAACAAUUUGUAGAAAAUGACCAUCAUCCGGCUAAAGGAUUAUUGAAUGAUGAGUUACAUGUUUUACAGUCAAUUAGUCACAUAUUUCUGUAUUAAAUUCAAUAUUUUCCGUAAUUGUGUGUUUGGCGAACCUCAAAUACCCUUUCAAACUUUUGUUACCGUGGCUGUAUCGCACAUGUAAUGAAUAUUCGAAUGGAUGCUUUUAGCUGCCAAGUAUUUGCUAAACACGAUUUCAUAAUCAAAAAUUUUAUAAAUAUUCAAAUUUAUACAUAAUUGCACUUUUCGGAAGUAAUCACUUUAUCAGUAUAAAAAGUGCAUACUUUAAGGCGUUUUCAUGAAAUUUAUUAAAUUUAAAACUUGAAUAAUUAAAAAUUGAGAAAACUCGUUAAACUUUUGCGCAGCAUUUCGCAUUCUGGGGUUGUUUAUUCAGGUGAAAAACAUAUUUUUGGCACAUGCAAAGGUAUUUCAUUUACUGAUCAAUUUCAUCCCGAAAGCAAAAUUAUUGAUUUUUUAUUUUAAAUGAUAUUUACCAAUUGCAAUAAAAUGAUUUGUAGUAAAAGUUUCAAUCUCGUUGACUGAUGAGAAUCGUGGUCGUACUUGUUUAUUGCUUUGAGUUCGACUUUCUUUGGGUGAUCGACUGUACUUUGGAUGACAUCUUUAAUUGGCAAUUCAGUCUAAUUUGGUCAAUCAAAAAGACUAUAUGUUUUCUUAACCCGACGUUUCGGUCCUUAUUGGACCUUUUUCAAGGAUUCUGUAAUGUUUGAGUUUGACCAUAUCGCUGCAUUCGAAAUCACGGUAGCAUUAGUAGAACAUUUUUGACAGCUCCUCCCCUCGUAAAGUAUAUUCUCCUAUACCUAAUAGAAGGCUCCUAGCAAUAUCAUGAACUUCCUCUAAAAUGCUACGUCUUUAAUGGACGGUUCCUAACAACAAAUACUUCAUGUCAUCAUUUUGCGUGUUUCUCUUCGGUAGAAAACAAAAGAUUUUAUCCAGGGCGUUUUUUACAGAUAUUAAAUUAAACAUAGCUCCAUAUGUUUAAAUCACAAGUCUAUCUAAUGCAAAGUAUUUAUUUUAUUCUCUUAUGAAUAAGAAAACUUUUAAGUUUUAAUUCGACUUCUGGUUGAUGUUCUGAAUUUCUGUGUAACAAAUCUGGUGUUCUGGUUCAAAAGAGAAUCCUAAAUUAUAUUCUUUGUAUUGGAUAGAUUUAUAAUUGAAACAUGUAAAGCUAUGUUCAAUAUCAAUAUGUGAAAAUCCACGUAUAAAAAUACCCAAAAAUUGGUUUGACUCAAAAAAAAAAAAACAUUUUGUGUUGGGUUAGAUUUAGAUAAUAGCAAUUUAAUUACUUUGAUCCAUUUUGAAUUCUAUUCUUAUUGGUUGGUGUGGGGUUUGGUUCUCCGAAAUAGGAUUAAUUUAAUUUCGCAAAUGGGCAUGUAUUCCAAAUUGACUUCAAUAUAUUUUUUUACUUUUUUUAGCGUGAUCGUUUUUUUCAAUAUUUCAAUUUUUUACUUGAAAGUUUACACAAAUUCCUUAAAGUCACACAUACCACACUUUUUUGCAGGUCAUGUUAUUUUAAAGUUAUAUUGGUAUAAAUAAAAUAGUCAAAAACUUAAGCCCUUUUCAAAUAUUAGUGGAGAUAAAUAAAAAAAAAAACAACAAAGUAUGCAACGUUGCUUUAAAGUACAUAGUCUUCAUACCUACACAAUUCCAUUGAAAUCUGAGAGGGUGCUGCCAACCCCAAAAUCUAGUUUGCGGGAAAUUCGUCAUGCACUCUAAAAAAACACGCAACCAAAAAUGUUCAAAGUGCCGUAACUUUUUUGUACAUUUUUUUACCACUAUAAAAAUUUUACAGAUGAUAACUAACAGAAUGAACUUUAUUCUCACAAAAAAACACGAAGGUAAAAAAAUAACUUUUUGAGAUAUUUAAUUUUUAGUAACAAAAUUCAGUUUUUUCAGAAGAAAAACUAAAUAAAUUUUUCAAUGUGUAUUUUUCUGAGAGCCGCCAUAUAUUAUUCUACAACUUUGCUGAAGACACCUUUCCGAUCGAACAAGCCGUUUCCGUGUUAUAAUUUUUUAUUUGCUUGUGUUCCAUUUUUUCAUAGGCCCUAUUUGAAAGUUAGUCGAGACAAAAUAUGAA